rnacentral:piRNA from 2 species
UAACUGUUUGAAUGAGGAGACUGUGGUUC